rnacentral:lncRNA from 1 species
AUUAGCUUCCCUUGAAUUCUGCAGAAUAUCGGCCAAAAGUCUUAACGUUAAUUCCACUUGAUGUUGCAUUGUACUUGCCUAGAUAUGCUGCCACAUCUAACCUAUCACCCUCUAACCACAGUGGCAUUCCCCCAUCAGAUACUCCCAUUAUGUAGCCAAAACUAUUAGCACUAAGUUCUAACUCCCUACCAUUAAAUUCUAUCACACACCUAGCCACAUCCGUCCUCUGAACAAGCCAACAACAUAGUUUCCUUUUCAGUCUUCCACAAUUAAGCUUAAUCAGAUUAUCUAGUCCCAUUUCAGAAACUACUUCCCUCUGGUCAUCUGUCAGUUGUACCACAAUAGCUGCAAACCUGUCAGGUGCGCACCGGGUGAGAAACUUUCUCUCCUCAAUAGCAACUUUCUCAACUCUAUGCAAUUGGGUUAUGCAUUUGCUUUUCUCGCUCGGAGGUAAGUUUUUCAAUUCCGUUCCUAGUUCUUUGCGAACCUAUACGAAAUUAUUACAUAUCAUUUCCAAUAUAUUCUCAACUAAAUCGAUUAAAACAUCGCUUUUAAUUUACUAACCUCUCUCGUAAUGCAUGCUCUUGCAUUAUUUGCCUUCAUUCGACGCACUGCUUCCCCACUGCACAUUUACAAAAUUGCAUUGAUUUACGAACACAUCAUAUUCAAGUUUGUCUAUGCGAACAAAUUAAUUGACUUCAUUAAUUUUUCGGUACUCUUUCACAAACUUACAAGAAGCUGACAAAUCCAUAGCUACUUUGCGUGGCUUCAUUCCCUUCACCAUUGACAAUGGUCACUUUUUCGAGAUCACCAUUAGGAUUGCAUAACUUCCGCUUACGAAUUCUCCCCAAUUCCAUUCCUGCAACCCAAAUCAUUCUUAAAUAUCACUUUAACAUUCUUUUCUUCUUUCUUGCCUUCAAUCUAGUGACUUCAGCCUCAAUUUUUAAUAUAUCAUAUUACCAUUAUAUAUUAAUAUUUCAUCUAUUUACUAAUAAUUGCUAUAUCAUCUACAUUCUACAGGCUAUUUUCACACAAGCAGUCUACCUUCGAGGGCAAAGACAACGAAACCUAUUUACACGGUAUAAAUAAAAUCAAGUGCUUGCAUUCUGAAAUGGAUCCAACCAGUGUCCUUCAAAGAAUAUAAGAAAGAUGAACUUAUGUGUACCCCAAUGGGAGGACAUAAGAUGGUGCACAAGGUAAAUAACAUAAAUGUAACUUUGAAUUCAUCAUUAGCUUCCCUUGAAUUCUGCAGAAUAUCGGCCAAAGUCUUAACGUUAAUUCCAC